rnacentral:lncRNA from 10 species
AGGUGCUGUAUUAUUACUGUUUUAUUGACUAUAUCAUAAAGGAAAUGAUAAACUUCAGUUAGAAGUUAGUGAAAACACAGGUAUAUUUUUUCCUGUCUCAGACCACAGAUCCCCACUAAAGGACCCCUGCACUAUAGCCUAGUUUUAACAGAGCCAGCAGGCUGAUCCUUCCAAAAGGUGAGUUGGGUCAUGUCAUUCCUUCGUUCCAUGUCUUGAGCAAGGUUCCCAUUUCCCUCAGCAUAAACGCCAGAGAAACCCCUCACCAAGGCUGCCUGGGCCCAUGGCUCCGGCCCCGUCCCUUGCUCCUCCUGAUUUGCCUGACACAGGCACACCCCCACCCUUGGCACUGGCCAUCUACUUAGCACGCUCUUCUCACAGAAAGCUGAAUAGUUAAUUCUCUUAUUUUUUCAAGUCUUAGCUCAAAUAGCCCCUUUUUAAUGUGGCCAAAUAAAGGUGCAGCCCACCCUGCCCACAACCGGAAGCUCGGGGCUCAGGUGCAGCCCACCCCGCCCACAACCAGGAGCUCAGGGCUCAGCCCUGCUUCUCUGCUUUCUAGGGCACUGGCUGCCCCUUUGCAGGCCCGUCUACGCCACCGCUUCCUGGUUCUGCUUCCUGCUUCCUGUCCAUUUCCCCUGCUAGAAUGUGGUUCUGCUUCCUGCCUCCUGUCUCUUCCCCCUCUAGGCUGCAGAUCCGACAAGGGUUGGCGUCUCUCACUGAUACCCAUUCUCUUCACAGAGUCUGGCAUAGAAUAGGCGCUCAACGUAUUUUUUUACUGUUUUCAACAAACGGAAUGAACUGACAAGAAACUUUACUGUGGGACAUGAACGGAAACAAGUCCUCAGGGAGGGGUGAUGGUGAAGAGGACUCUGAGUUACACAUCCUUCUAGCGGGUGGCAGGGUGUGUGCCAGGUGUCCACAGGUCAAGCCCAAAUCAAAAGCCUUGGGCUCUCAAGUCUCAAGCUCCUCUUAGAAACUGCUCGGGGUUAAAGAAUCCUUAUAGAAAGAAAACUUAGAUCAGAUGUGCUACAGCUAUUCUGGGUAUGCUAAAGAUUAAUAAAUAAAUAAAUAAAUGGCAAGAGCGUUCUUUCAACACCUGGGCUGUGAUCUCUGAUGGAAGUCUGCAGUGUGUGAACCAAGGAAAAUUCCACAGACAGAAAUGAGCAUUUUAUGGCAACUCUAUCAGGUAUUAAAUAUAAACUCUAAACCAAGAAACAAACAUUAAGCUGGUAAAAAGGUCAUAGCUUGAAAGGGCUGACUGACUCAAAACAUAAACAUUUCCCUUUUGGUUUCAACUUCUUCAGUUAACUGCUCUGUUCUAAGGGUUUCUCUGCCAUCCAGAAUGAAUGGUGCUCUCCCAGGCAUCUGGGAUUAGGGACGCGUGUGCACAGCACCGAGCAGCGUGAGCCUGUGUUCUCCCAGGCGUCUGGGUUUAGGGACGCGUGUGCACAGCACCGAGCAGCGUGAGCCUGUGUUCUCCCAGGCGUCUGGGUUUAGGGACGCGUGUGCACAGCACCGAGCAGCGUGAGCCUGUGUUCUCCCGGGCGUCUGGGUUUAGGGACGCGUGUGCACAGCACCGAGCAGCGUGAGCCUGUGUUCUCCCAGGCGUCUGGGUUUAGGGACGCGUGUGCACAGCACAGAGCAGCCCUGAGCUCGUGCUCUCCCAGGCGUCUGGGUUUAGGGACGCGUGUGCAAAGCACAAAGUGGCAUUCCCCGCUUGCUCUACACGGAAACAGGCACUUCCUCCUCUUCUCUAGGGGGUUACCGAAACCCCUGUGCCAAGCACUCAGACUUCUAUUUCUUACCAAGCAGGCGCUCCUCCUUCCUCUCCAUGUUCCCAUCUGGCUAGUCCAGAUUUUCGGUUCACAUUCGAACGCCUCAAAAGAUGAUCUCACUGUCUCUCCUGCCUCACCACUCAUCCGUAACCAAACCACUCCAAUCAGCCUCCGCUCCUCCAAUCUCCUGGAAUUGUUCUCAACAAGGUGAGCAGUGACCAAGGUUCAGGCCCAGUGGGUACUUACCGGUCUUUUCUUGCAUACCGCUCUGCUGCACGUGGUCAUCCCCGCAUGCCAGCGCUCUCUGCUCUACCAUUCCUCUAACGCCCCGCUGCCCGCCUCCCCCCCACCCCCGUGUUCCUCGACACUAUGAUCUCUGUGUUCACUGUCUUUCUGCUGGUCCUUCAAUGAAGGUGUUAUUCCCCUUGGCUUACUGUCCUUAUCACACUAUAUGUGUAUCUCUCAACUGAACCUCAUUCUUAUCUAUUUACAAAGACAUAUGUCUUAUGCUUCCCAAAUCUUCAAUGCCAAACUCUCUUACAAGCUUCACACUUCCAGAUCUGUCUGGAAACAGAUCUCAUACACAGUCCUCACAAAGCUGACUUCAUCACCUCCUCCCCUUGUCUGUUAACCUACCUUAGAGACCCGAACUAGAGAAAUAGUAACCACACUAGGGCCUCCUCCUUGUAUCUCAUGCUGUAAUAAUGAUGAGGGCCUAGCAAUUUCACUUCCUGAACAUGACCUGCCAUCUCUCUCUUCAUCUCCACCUCCAGUUCUGCUGUCCCAGGUAAUUCAUUACAGCUCCCCGUGUAUCUGGGCAAGGCUCCUCACUGAAUUCUCUGGCCUUUUUAGGGCCACCCAUCUGUGGCUCCCAAACACCCCAGGGAAUUUCUAUGCUCUCUCUUCACAAACAGUCCCGCUCCUUCCCUUGUUCUUACCUCUGACUCAUUAAAUCCUACCCACCCUUUAUCGAUCUAGUCCAGAAGUCACUUCCUCCUUGGAGUCUCUGAGACAUCUUCUAUGCCCAGACGGGGACCAUCCCUCGUCCCUGCAUCCCGCCGUGCCCUGUGCGUCUCCUAUGCAGUUCUCGCCCGCUGUACUUACUUUCUUAGGACUCUGAGCUCUCUGAAGGACCUCCUUGCCAUAUCUUCUCUGUACCCCUCCUCACAAGUCUGGCACAUCACAGGAAUUCAAAUUUCUACUGAAUAAAUGAGUUUGCUGAUUAAAUAUCAGAACAUGAUAUACUGAUUCUUUAUCAACUGGGGCUGCUCAAUUAAUGAAUGAGUGGAAGUGUCUUUAUAGGGAAAUAUGCUGAUUCCAUUUUAGAACACAAUGCUUAUUUGCAAGGACACAAUUAUUAACUUACUGUGUAAUAGGCCAAGAUUCUUACUCAACAUACGUCCUUUGUAGGCAAAAGCAAACCACAAUAAGCCUACCCUGACCUGAGACGCUUGUUGUUAAGAACAACAGAUAACCUGAGAACUGUGUUUUGCCAACAGUCAGUUUCCACCCUGAAGGAAUGGACUUCACAAGGCCUUUGCUUUGUGAGGCCCUGUUGCCUAUGUGCUGUGUGAUUACAAACAUUCCACAGUCGGUUAUUUAGAAAGAUACUGAAAUUGCGGAACUCUGUGCUGACACACUGAUUACAGCAACAACCACAGAUUGGACCUACUUCAUAUGAACACUUUAACCACCAGCUUAGGGACCAUCCCUGAGUUACAGCAGAGGGAGCCCUGAACUGGAAGCCCCAGCUCUCUCACCACCUGGCCAAGGGGCUGAAAGCAGGUGAUGCCACUUCUGUGGGUUGUGGUGAUCUCAUCUGUGCAAUGAAGAACUGGAUUUGGUUCAGCUCAGUCACCAACAGCUGACAACUACUGAACCAAGUGCAAAUGUGGAAGUCCUAUCCUCAAGAAAUUAAAGUAUAAUGGAAAUAAAGACAGAUGGCACCAAACUAUCAUCUACUGAUGUGCUCUGACGGCCCUUCACGGGUAAAGCUGCUAUGACAUGCUGCAACAAGGACAGGUGAAUACUCCUUAGGAAUGUAAAGUGACAUCACCCGUUCAUCUAACAGAUGCCAUCCUGGGUCAGACACCCGACCAACAAUGCCCUAUUCAUGGCACUAACACUGAGUGAAGGGAAGAAGAAAGGUGAUUAUUUCCCAUACUGAAAACUGAAAAGUUUGCUCUUGAAAAUAACCUGGCCUAAAUGACAAGACGUGUUCAUUCUUAGAAGUCAGGGUGUGCUCUGAACGAGUGUUACGUGUGGGUAAGUUUUUCAGUGAAAGAAAGCCUCAACGAGUCAAUAAUAAACAUUAAACAAUUCUGUUCCAAGCAGGAACUUGCAAACUCCUGGUGCAAGAGCAUCAAGAAGCAAUGAGAUCUCGUCUCGGGCAGAGUAAAUGGCUGAAAUGGAACUUGCUGGGUCCACACCAGUUCACCCUGUUCUUCC